UUCUGCGCGCGCUUAUGGCGCGCUUUUGUGCGUGUCGAAAGCGUAUAACGUGCGCGAUAUUCGUGCGAGCGCAGUUUGACUUGAGCAAUCGUGGGCUUGGACUCCGUGAGAUUUGCUUUCGUCAUAUGCGAGUUAGGGGCUUGCCGACAGGUAAACCGCCGCUGUACUUAAGUGAAUACCUUGUUUUUCGUGGUCCUGAAAUAAAUGGCGCGUCGCUGCGAUGGCGACUUCAAUCGAGUGCGGUAAUUGCUGCGCAUUACGGGCGAUUUAAUUGCACAAUACGUUCUGCAUUAUCGGUGUAGGCAGAGAAAACUUAUCCUGUGAGCCUUACUUCCGUCAGUCAGUCGGUUACAUGUUUCGCUCUUUUCCAGUGCACAUUCCUUGAUAUCCACUAACGAGCUGCUUCAAAUAUCGAAGUGUCUAUUCAUCGUGCAGAUGUUUUUUUAUUAUUAUUAACACAACUGGCGACGAGCAGCAGAGUUACAGCCAUGCAAAAGCUGCCUCCCUUAUCUUGAACAGAAUAAAUUCCUUUCGAAGACAAAAUAAAGAAAACAGAAAGAAGUCAUCAAGGCAUUCCACAUCUAUCUUAUUCAGUCUUUACAGUGUUGCUACAUCACCAUUUCCUGAGCCUCCUAUGCCAAAAAAGGUUGUUGUCAAAAAUAAAAUGACCUGAUUCCCAUGUUUUUCACCAUCCAAGCAGUGUUUACUGUCAAUUAUUACUGCUUUUUGUAACCUCACCUGUGAUUACUGUAUGUUAACACUGAGCUAUAUGAUAAGCUUAGUAAAAGUUGAAAAAGUAUACUGAAUGUUUAUUUCUGUUUUUUUAGACAUAAGGAGGGGUGCUUAAAAGUGAGCCGCAUUUGCAAAAUGCUUGCGUAAACAGCAACUACCCCGGUCAUGUCCUAAUUGUGGCCAUGUUGUCCCUGCAAACUUAUUAAUCUCAUCCGCCCACCUAACUUGCUGCCGCCCCCUGCUACGCUUCCCCUCUCUUGGAAUCCAGUCCAUAAACCUUAAUGACCAUCGAUUAUCUUCCCUCCUCAUUACGUGCCCUGCCCAUUUUUCUUGAUUUCAACUAAGAUAUCAUUAACUCGCGUUUGUUCCCUCACCCAAUCUGUUCUCAUCUUAUCCCCUUAAUGUUACACCCAUCAUUCUUCUUCUUUCCAUAGCUCGUUGCGCUGUCUUCAAUUUAAGUAGAACCCGUUUCGUAAGCCUCCAGGUUUCUGCCCUGUACGUGAGUACUAGUAAGACACAGCUGUUUCACACUUUCCUCUUGAGGGAUAAUGGCAACCUGCUGUUCAUGAUCCAAGAAUGCCUGCCAAACGCACCCCAGCCCAUUCUUAUUCUUCAAAUUAUUUCAGUCUCAUGAUCCGGAUCCGCAGUCACUACCUGCCCUAAGUAGAUGUAUUCCCCUUACCACUUCCAGUGCCUCACUACCUAUCGUAAACUGCUGUUCUCUUCCGAGACUGUUAAACAUUAUUUUAGUUUUCUGCAGACUAAUUUUUAGACCCACCAUUCUGCUUUGCCUCUCCAGGUCAGUGAGCAUGCAUUGCAAUUGGUCCUCUGAGUUACUAAGCAAGGCAAUAUCAUCAGCAAAUCGCAAGUUACUAAGGUAUUCUCCAUUAACUCUUAUCCCCAAUUCUUCCCAAUCCAGGUCUCUGAAUACCUCCUGUAGACACGCCGUCAAUAGCAUAGGAGAGUUCGUAUCUCCCUGCCUGACGCCCUUCUUUAUUGGGAUUUUGUUGCUUUCUUUAUGGAGGACUACGGUGGCUGUGGAGCCGCUGUAGAUAUCUUGCAGUAUUUUUACAUAAGGCUCGUCUACACCCCGAUUCCAUAAUGACUGCUGAGGUUUUUACUCAAUCAAACGCUUUCUCGUAAUCAAUGAAAGCUAUGUAUAAGGGUUGGUUUCUUAAUUAGGUCUUUCAUCUCCUGCGAUAACUUACCGGUAUCCUGUCUAACGAAGUUACAACCGACUUCUAUUGCACACUCCUUAAUGAUGCCCAUAAGAUUUUCGUUCAUUGCUUCAACACUGAGGGUCUCUUCCUGAGUUAAAGCCCAAUACCUCUUCCGCAGCCUGAUCCGAAAUUCCUCUACUUUCCCUCUUACCGCUAACUCAUUGAUCGGCUUCUUAUGUACCAGUUUUUUCCAUUCCCUCCUUUAGUCUAGGCUAAUUCGAGAUAUUACCAUCCUAUGGUCACUGUAGCGCACCUUGCCGAGCACGUCCACAUCUUGUAUGAUGCCAGGGUUAGCGCAGGGUAUGAGGUCUACUUCAUUUCUAGUCUCGCCAUUCGGGCUCCUCCAAGUCCACUUUCGGUUAUCCCACUUGCGGAAGAAGGUAUUCAUUGUCCGCAAAUUAUUCCAUUCUGCAAACUCUACUAUACUGAUGGGCGACUUCAAUGCCAGGGUAGGCAAGAAGCAGGCUGGAGAAAGGUAUCUUGUUUUGACUUUAUCCAUCGCCGAUUCCACGUCUUCAUAGAAGCUUUCGACUUGCUGGUCACUGGAUGUAGGCGGCUAGACAUGUACGGCCUUCAAUUUGUACCUCUUCUUAAGUUUUACAACAAGACCUGCUACCCUCUCGUUAAUGCUAUACAAUUCCUGUAUGUUACCAGCUAUAUCCUUAUUAAUCAGGAAUCCAACUCCUGGUUCUCGUCUCUCCGCUAAGCCCCGGUGGCACAGGAUGUGCCUGCUUUUUAGCGCUGUAUAUGCUUCAUUUGUCCUCCCAACCUCACUGAGCUCUAUUAUAUCCCGUUUAAUGCCCGCUAAUUCCUCCAAUAGCACUGCUAGACUCGCCUCACUAGAGAACGUUCUAGCGUUAAACGUUGCCAGGUUCAGAUUCCAAUGGUGGCCUGUCCGGAUCCAGAGAUUAUUAGCACCCUCUGUGGCGUCACAGGUCUGACCGCCGCUGUGGUCAGUUGCUUCGCAGCUGCUGGGGACCGAGGGCCGGGGUUUGAUUGUUCUAUUCAUAUAGGAGGUUGUGGCCAAUCCUGCUCUGGUAAGGGAGUGCAUUACCAGUUCUGGUCACUGGGGUCAGGCCACCAGGCCUGUUUAUACAACUGUAUCAACAUGGAUUUUUUUUAUCCGGUGGAAAAUUGAGUGGCACCUGGAGAGAGAGAGAAAGAAGUUUAAUGACACGAAAUGCCGAGAGGUCGGCCUGAGGUAUAUUCCUCUAGCCAGCUACUCGGCAUUGGGGGAAGGGGAAGAGGGAAAGAAAGAGGGAAGAAAGAGGUGCAUGAUGGGUGACGAUGACGAUAGAAGGAAGAUGUAGAACAUAUGGCAAGCAAUUUGGCAUGCUCAAAGUCUGCAAUCCAGGCCCGUAAUUUUUAAAAAGUUCAGUAAUGCCUUGAUCGCCUUGAAACUCGACUGAGCGUCUGGCCAAGGGCCUAAAAUAACGUCCUCCGACAACGGUGCGCUGUCGAGACGCGUAAGGUCCUUGACCAACCUAUCACGCUCUUCCACAAACUUAGGGCAGUCACAAAGCACAUGACCUAUAGUCUCAGUCACAUUGCACACCUCACAGUGUGGAGACUCGGUGCAUCGCAUGAGGUCCACGUAUCCGCGCGUAAACGCUACCCCCAGCCUUAGUCUGUGCAGAAGACUGGCACAGCUUCGUUGAAUUAUCGGUGGUAGCCUAAAAUUCAUGGUGGGGUCCAAUCUCUGGAGUCGUCUGUGGCGAUUAUCCGGAUUGUCCCAGUGCUUUGCUGUCAAUUUUCGGAUGACACUGGAGAGGAGACAGUUGGCGUCCGCUCUUGAAAAAGGAAUUGAAAGCAGUGACUCUCGUUCUUCGAGUGCUUUCUUCGCUUCGGCAUCGGCCAGUUCGUUGCCCUGUAUACCGCAGUGACUAGGAAUCCACUGAAAUGUGAUCUGGUGGCCGUUUUCUUGCGCUAAAGUGUAGAGCUCGGCAGUUUGAAGAGCCAACACUCUGUAAGCGCUUUCUUUCAACACCACUCUAAGUAGUUGAAGAGCCGAUUUUGCGUCACUGAAAACUGUCCAUAUUUGAGGAGGCUGUCGCGCAAUAUAUUGAACGGCCUCUCUUAGUGCCACUAAUUCCGUAGAUGUUGUAGUCGUCUUGUUAUGCAGACGAAACCGUCGAAUGACUUGAUGCGCAGGCACGACAAAAGCCGCACCAGACGCAUACGACGAGACCGAGCCGUCUGUAUACACGCUCACCGAGGAGUCAUAUUCUUUCGACAUAUAUUCAAGUGUUAAAUGUCUGAGGCCGACGGUAGGUAUUCGCGAUUUUUUAGAAAUUCCGGGAAUAGAUAGACGUACUGGUAUUUUGGACAUUACCCAUGGGGGCAUAUGUGGAAGGUCAGCCGGGGCAAAGUAUGCUGGCACCUGGAUUUGAACCACAGUCCUUCUGCACGUGAGGCGGAUGCUCUACCUCUACGCUAUCGCUGUAUCGGGGCGCAAGUAGUAAGUAAUUAUACGGGAAGCGUUUUAUUUACUGUAAUUGGAGGAUUGGAGUAGAUUAGUUUGACCACUCAAACAGUGGGACUGGUCCAACUGUCAGAAUUCUGACAAGUUAUAAGGACUGGAAUCGCAUAACCACAACUCUGAAGGAAUGGAGUGGGAAUAGAAUGGAGCACCCCCACUCUGCAAUUCUGCACCAUGCCGUUAGAUCCUGUUCUUGGGCAAUGCCAGCACAGCUCUAGAAUCACAAAGACGACCGCACUACCAGGGCGAAACACAUAGAAGGCCUGUCAGCUGCCGCAUGAUCACGUGCUGCCAACGAGCAAUCCUGCACAUCCUAUAUAUAUAUAUAUAUACACAGUGCACAGACUGGUACCCUAGGUAGGGGCUAGGACUCGCAAAAACUAUAGUGUACUCCACAACUGUGACGAGUACCAGGCCACCAAACUCCUUGCCCUGUGCACGUUGCUGUCUAUCUUCAUGAGCCUAGAUCCUGAUGCAACCACUGGUGCCACACUGCUAUUUUCAAAGGCCACCACUAGGUAAAGUGCCAGGGCCCGCCCAGGCCAGGGGUCAUCGGCUUGGUCCAAUACACAAAAGACAGUAAACUUUGAAUUGACAGGACUACGAAUUGGAUUAGUAAAUUUUUAACUAACGCGAACCAAUUUGUAACUACUAAUGAAUUUUCUUCUCCGUGAUUGCUAGUAAGAUCCGGUGUGCCACGAAGCUCUGUAUUGGGACCAAUUUUAUUCCACCAAAAACAUGGCUCCACACAUUGUUUGAAAACAUGUGAGUGCAUAUGCUUGUAUCGGACAGCGAGAAUAAGUAAGAGUCGGUAAGCAAUGUCAAAUACAUGCAAUCUGGCUUACAAAACAAAAGAAACUGGUCACUAUUUAGUAAUAGUUUUCUUUUGUGUGAAACAACUGCACCCUUGAAAAGUUCCUCAUUCUACAAAAGUUCAUAUAGUGAAAUAUAGAAAUAUUUGGAUGCAUUUGAGUUGUCACCUGGCCCAGGGAACUUCUAGUGGCGGUCUGUCUCGAUCUCUCAAUUCCUGGCACUCCCCAAUAUUGUCACGUGGGCAGCAAAACUGUGAUUAAUGAAACGAGCGUUUUAUUGGGCGAACUUGUGCCCUCAAAAACAGGCUACACUCAAAGAAGGAUGGUAGCGGCGAACACGAUCGGUGGUCGUCGAAAAUCUGAUGAGCGGGUCAAGCGCGUCGGCUUUUAUACAUCUGUCGUCGAAUGUUCCAGAGCAAUCGCUGGGACCCGCGUGCCUUUCACAAAGUUUCACAUUAUUCACGUCGCGCACACAUGCAUUUAGAUAACACAAGUUGCAGUGAAAGACAGUGGAUGGAACCCAUCGAUAACUUCCAGAAACUUCUUUUACAUGCAGGCAAUUAUUUCCUUGAGAAUCUCCUCUUGCAGUGCAGGAGCUGCGAAAGCAAAAGCUGCCUGCCUCAUCUGGAACAGAAUAAAUUCCUUUCGAAGGCAAGCUCAAAAGCAGAAAGAGAAGUCAUCAAAGCAUUCCACAUCGCUAAAAUUUGUGAGAACUAAGUUAGCUCACCUUCUUGAUACCUAUCAAGGAAAGAAAUAGAAUUCUUAGAUGGGCACCUUGGGACUCUACUGCACUCUUAAUGCACAGGUGGCCUUGCUAUUUUUCAUAUCUGCCUCUUGCACAAUUUCUUUGCGAAUGUUUUUUGUUUUGCCAUUUUGAAGAACCUUAUAAACUCUCUGCCUUCACCAAACAAAGCCAGUCGGAAGUCUAUACUUUGCGCAUGCAUCUAUGCUUUUGUUCAUGUCCUGUCUUCCUCACACAGUUUAAAAUUUUGCUGAAGCUACAAGCUGACUAACCCAACAACAUGCCUUACUUCAGUGUCCAGCUGGGCUUGUUGGUAAAGCUACACAAUGCCAGCUCAAGUGACCACCGUGUGUGUCUGCUCUUCCGUGUUUGCAUGUGGCUCAGCCUUGAUUGCAUGUGUAGUUUCAGUACUAGCUACUAUAUUUUAACUACUAAUAUAACUUCCAUCUUCAACUUCCAGCUAGACAGAGUACCUCAUACUACAUUCUGAACAUUGCUGCAGUCAAGAAGGAUUUCUGUCUAAUGCGCUGGCCUCUACCACCAAAUGCCUGAAAAAUUAAGAAACAUUAUGUAGAUUCCAGACACAGUCGGGAUUUAUGUUGCAGGAUCCUUGGGUUGCACAACCACAACCUUGGCUAUGCCCAAUGACAAGGGACAGCAAGAUGCUACUUUAUGCCCAGAUGUCACCUCUUAUGACAUUUCAAGGCAGCGAGGCUGAGACUGCACUGUAUUCAGCGGCACUGACAACCAUGAUGUAGAGGACUGACUUUCCCCCUAUGUACAACACAUCAGCAGAAUAAGAACAAGGAAAUGCCCCACACAGGUGCGUGGCACUAAACUGGACGCACUACCUGCUGUAUGCAAGAGAGAAUUAGGAAGAAUGAGCUUCCCAUUACUCCUGAGCACCUACCUACAACUGUUUUUAUGGGCACAGCAUUGAAGCUGCAAUUGAGGUAAUGCCUAACACCACAUGAAAUACAAAGCACAAUACGUCAACACAGAGAAACCAAAACAACUGCACACACAACUUCUCACCAAAAUAGACACAACGUCUGCUUUAUGUUGCAUCUGAGCUGAAACGGGAGAAUCCCAAACUCUGUGUCACAUAACAUCUGAAAGAAUCAGCUGCUAUGAGAGAACCAGUGAGAUUAAUCUGGCGCGCUAUGCAUGCACCUGUAGCCUAACGGGUAAAGAAUUGGGCUGCUGCACUAAGGACCCAGACUAACGACCCACCAUCAGGCACGUUACUAUUAUUGAGCCUAUCUGACUGGAUGUACGAAGAAGCCAGGAGACGGAUCAUGAUAAUGCUUUGCACAAGAGACAACGAAGCUGAACCCACGUUUUCUGCCUUGUGCUUGCAAUGCUCUACCAAGUGAGCUUCAAUGGCAGUUGUCCCGAUGUCAAUUUUCUUGGAUAGCUGCGCAUGUGUACUAAGCAUAGCCCUAAGAGUGCUGGGCAGCAGCACUCACAGUCAUGAUGGCAGAUGUUAAGUAUCCUUUAAAACACCCAUACUACAAAGUACAUGAUCUUAGAAGCUGGCAAGUGGCUAAUAAACACUCGUUUUCUACCAUGAGGAACCAAGGCAGCCGAAAUCAAAACAUUUGUAGCUUAUGAGCGAGAAAAAUCAGGGGAGUCACGCAGCUCAAUUUUUUGUUUAUAACAAGCAUAUGAUGGCAACAGACUAUGAAGCAACAAUGACUAUAUAGAAAAAUGGGUUAGAGCUGACGACAAUCAUUGGCAGCUCACACUAUAAUGCUUUCUCUACAAUGUAUUGUCUCAAGACAUCUGGCAGCAAAAAUCUUCUGGAUUCUUCUACUAUGUCUUUUGCAACUGAAAUUUUAAAUGUGUGUAAUACUUCACGGCAACUUAGAACACUUACAUGGUUAAGCAUCUCCAUACCUUAAAUUUGUGGACCAGUUUUGUCACCUUUCUAGAACAAUAACUCCCUGGUGUCAUACAUCACUCAAACCACUACUAAUUAAAUCUACCUUUAGAUAAGCAGUACCUGCAUUAGAUGCAGCAGCAUACCCUUUUAGCAAAUGCAUAUACAUACCACGCUCAGACUGAGCAAACCAAACAAACCAACAGCGACCAGUACUUGUGUCCAUUUGUCUUCAACGAGGCAGAGACAGGCCAGGUCUCAAUAAACACAACAAAUAUAAGGUGCAGGCAGAGGAAAUAAGCAGAAGCUGUAAAGACAGCAGUAAAGUGAAACAAAUUAGACAAAUUUGCACACAGUCAGCGAUCUGGGCCGAGGACAAUUCACAACGUUACUGCCACAAUUAGAAGCAAAUGCUCCUCAUGCAACAAGAAAAAACACGUUUUAGCUGUAAACAGCACGAGUGCGUGGAGUUGGUUGAUAUUCUAAAAACAGCACAGACAACAAUUAAAGCAGACACACUACUUGUGU